CAUAUCAAUAAGCGGAGGAAAAAGAAAACUAACAAGGAUUCCCCUAGUAACUGCGAGUGAAGCGGGAAAAGCUCAAAUUUAAAAUCUGGCAGUCUUUGGCUGUCCGAGUUGUAAUCUAGAGAAGUGUUAUCCGCGCUGGACCGUGUACAAGUCUCCUGGAAUGGAGCGUCAUAGAGGGUGAGAAUCCCGUCUUUGACACGGACUGCCAGGGCUUUGUGAUGCGCUCUCAAAGAGUCGAGUUGUUUGGGAAUGCAGCUCAAAAUGGGUGGUAAAUUCCAUCUAAAGCUAAAUAUUGGCGAGAGACCGAUAGCGAACAAGUACCGUGAGGGAAAGAUGAAAAGAACUUUGGAAAGAGAGUUAAACAGUACGUGAAAUUGCUGAAAGGGAAACGCUUGAAGUCAGUCGCGUUGGCCAGGGAUCAACCUUGCUUUUGCUUGGUGUACUUUCUGGUUGAUGGGUCAGCAUCAAUUUUGACUAUUGGAGAAAGGUCAGGGGAAUGUGACAUCUUCGGAUGUGUUAUAGCCCUUGGUUGUAUACAAUGGUUGGGAUUGAGGAACUCAGCACGCCGCAAGGCCGGGUUUUUAACCACGUACGUGCUUAGGAUGCUGGCAUAAUGGCUUUAAUCGACCCGUCUUGAAACACGGACCAAGGAGUCUAACAUACCUGCGAGUGUUUGGGUGGAAAACCCGAGCGCGUAAUUAAAGUGAAAGUUGAGAUCCCUGUCGUGGGGGGCAUCGACGCCCGGACCAGACCUUUUGUGACGGUUCCGCGGUAGAGCAUGUAUGUUGGGACCCGAAAGAUGGUGAACUAUGCCUGAAUAGGGUGAAGCCAGAGGAAACUCUGGUGGAGGCUCGUAGCGAUUCUGACGUGCAAAUCGAUCGUCAAAUUUGGGUAUAGGGGCGAAAGACUAAUCGAAACCAUCUAGUAGCUGG
rnacentral:rRNA from 1 species